AUUGAACGCUGGCGGCAUGCCUUACACACGCAAGUCGAACGGCAGCACGGGUGCUUGCACCUGGUGGCGAGUGGCGAACGGGUGAGUAAUACAUCGGAACAUGUCCUGUAGUGGGGGAUAGCCCGGCGAAAGCCGGAUUAAUACCGCAUACGAUCUACGGAUGAAAGCAGGGGACCUUCGGGCCUCGCGCUAUAGGGUUGGCCGAUGGCUGAUUAGCUAGUUGGGGGGGUAGAGGCCUACCAAGGCGACGAUCAGUAGCUGGUCUGAGAGGACGACCAGCCACACUGGGACUGAGACACGGCCCAGACUCCUACGGGAGGCAGCAGUGGGGAAUUUUGGACAAUGGGCGAAAGCCUGAUCCAGCAAUGCCGCGUGUGUGAAGAAGGCCUUCGGGUUGUAAAGCACUUUUGUCCGGAAAGAAAUCCUUGGCCCUAAUACGGUCGGGGGAUGACGGUACCGGAAGAAUAAGCACCGGCUAACUACGUG
rnacentral:rRNA from 1 species